rnacentral:rRNA from 1 species
GAUGAACGCUGGCGGCGUGCCUAAUACAUGCAAGUCGAGCGAAUGGAUUAAGAGCUUGCUCUUAUGAAGUUAGCGGCGGACGGGUGAGUAACACGUGGGUAACCUGCCCAUAAGACUGGGAUAACUCCGGGAAACCGGGGCUAAUACCGGAUAACAUUUUGAACCGCAUGGUUCGAAAUUGAACGGCGGCUUCGGCUGUCACUUAUGGAUGGACCCCCGUCGCAUUAGCAAGUUGGUGAGGUAGCGGCUCACCAAGGCAACGAUGCGUAGCCGACCUGAGAGGGUGAUCGGCCACACUGGGACUGAGACACGGCCCAGACUCCUACGGGAGGCAGCAGUAGGGAAUCUUCCGCAAUGGACGAAAGUCUGACGGAGCAACGCCGCGUGAGUGAUGAAGGCUUUCGGGUCGUAAAACUCUGUUGUUAGGGAAGAACAAGUGCUAGUUGAAUAAGCUGGCACCUUGACGGUACCUAACCAGAAAGCCACGGCUAACUACGUGCCAGCAGCCGCCGUAA